rnacentral:rRNA from 1 species
UACGUAGGGGGCAAGCGUUAUCCGGAUUUACUGGGUGUAAAGGGAGCGUAGACGGCAGAGCAAGUCUGAAGUGAAAGCCCGCGGCCCAACUGCGGGACUGCUUUGGAAACUGCCCGGCUAGAGUGCUGGAGAGGUAAGCGGAAUUCCUAGUGUAGCGGUGAAAUGCGUAGAUAUUAGGAGGAACACCGGUGGCGAAGGCGGCUUUCUGGACUGAAACUGACGCUGAGGCACGAAAGCGUGGGGAGCGAACAGG